AUAAAAGCAUUGACGUAGAAACAAAGUGCCUGUGUAAUUGACAGAGAUCCAGUUGAGCUGAGAGCUGGGAGCAGACAUGAUCCACCUCUACUAGCUGAAAGGAUGAAUUUUAGUAGUCUGUUCCGGUGAUUCCGUUAUCGUCAGGAGUUAACGCAACUCCAUGAGGCAGUAACUGUGAGGUUACUGUAAAAUAGAGGUGGAACAGUGAUGAAUAUCGCCCUCUAA
rnacentral:ncRNA from 1 species